GGACGGGUGGCGGAAUUGGCAGACGCACUGGACUUAAAAUCCAGUUCUAAAAUGAGUGCAGGUUCGAGUCCUGCCCCGUCUACGA
rnacentral:tRNA from 1 species